rnacentral:rRNA from 1 species
GACGAACGCUGGCGGCGUGCUUAACACAUGCAAGUCGAGCGGAAAGGCCCUUUCGGGGGUACUCGAGCGGCGAACGGGUGAGUAACACGUGGGUAAUCUGCCCUUCACUUGGGGAUAACUACCGGAAACGGUGGCUAAUACCCGAUAUGACCAAUCACUGCAUGGUGUGUUGGUGGAAAGUUUUUUCGGUGGAGGAUGUGCUCGCGGCCUAGCAGCGUGUUGGUGGGGUAAUGGCCUACCAAGGCUUCGACGGGUAGCCGGCCUGAGAGGGUGACCGGCCACACUGGGACUGAGACACGGCCCAGACGCCUACGGGAGGCAGCAGUGGGGAAUAUUGGACAAUGGGCGAAAGCCUGAUCCAGCAACGCCGCGUGAGGGAUGGCGGCCUUCGGGUUGUAAACCUCUUUCAGCGGGGACGAAGCGCCGGUAAUGGUGGUGACGGUACCCGCAGAAGAAGCACCGGCCAACUGCGUGCCAGCCGCCGCCGUAA